rnacentral:rRNA from 1 species
GGGCGUUAAGUUGCAGGGUAUAGACCCGAAACCCGGUGAUCUAGCCAUGGGCAGGUUGAAGGUUGGGUAACACUAACUGGAGGACCGAACCGACUAAUGUUGAAAAAUUAGCGGAUGACCUGUGGCUGGGGGUGAAAGGCCAAUCAAACCGGGAGAUAGCUGGUUCUCCCCGAAAGCUAUUUAGGUAGCGCCUCGUGAAUUCAUCUCCGGGGGUAGAGCACUGUUUCGGCUAGGGGGCCAUCCCGGCUUACCAACCCGAUGCAAACUGCGAAUACCGGAGAAUGUUAUCACGGGAGACACACGGCGGGUGCUAACGUCCGUCGUGAAGAGGGAAACAACCCAGACCGCCAGCUAAGGUCCCAAAGUCAUGGUUAAGUGGGAAACGAUGUGGGAAGGCCCAGACAGCCAGGAUGUUGGCUUAGAAGCAGCCAUCAUUUAAAGAAAGCGUAAUAGCUCACUGGUCGAGUCGGCCUGCGCGGAAGAUGUAACGGGGCUAAACCAUGCACCGAAGCUGCGGCAGCGAGCGUAGUCGAUGGGAAACGGGUUAAUAUUCCCGUACUUGGUGUUACUGCGAAGGGGGGACGGAGAAGGCUAUGUUGGCCGGGCGACGGUUGUCCCGGUUUAAGCGUGUAGG